rnacentral:siRNA from 1 species
ACACGGGGAGGUAGUGACAAU